rnacentral:lncRNA from 1 species
GUGAAUUGAUAAAUGGAUAAGUCAACAGCCUCACUAGAUAUCCUAGGAGAUGGUGGACGGAACGAGUCCAUAGGGAACCCUACCGGGAACGUUGUCUCUCAUAUCGGACGGGGUAUAGAGACUUUAAAUGUUAUAAAUUAUGCUCCAUUGGUCGUUUUUUAUUUUCUACCAACCUUUACUUCUGUGAUAGUGAGAUAGUAUGACGUCUUUACUGGACUAGUGUAGCUCAUUCCUUACUUAACAAUU